rnacentral:lncRNA from 1 species
GGAAGAAAACUAAAUAUUGCAUAUUUCAAAACUUUUGGAUAUCAUUAUUUUAUUUUGAAUAAUGAUAAAGAUAAACUAAGUAAAUUUGAUAUAAAAUUUAAUAAAAGAAUAUUUCUUAGUUAUUCUUUUAUAAAUAAAGCUUAUAGAGUAUUUAAUAAAAAAAUUAUUAUUUUUGAUGAGACUAAACAAUUCUCCAUCAAGAGUAGAAGAUGAUGAAAGAAAUUUUGAUCAAGAUAUGAAGAAGAUG